GCAGCAGACCGUCCUGUCGCGGUCCGUUUGUUGCGGGCUGAGGAAAGUCCGGGCAACGCAGGGCGCCCCGCUUCCGAAAGGGAAGAUGCCCGUGAGGGCAUGGAAGUGGAGAAGAAAAUAACUUCCUGUCUGUGUGUUUCAGGGUUUUCACUGAUACCGGGCAGGUAAAGGUGAGAAGGUGGGGUAAGAGCCCACCAGUUCUGCUGGUGACAGCAGAAGCUGUCCACCCCGGGGGUUGUAAGACCAUGUAUACCGGCGUUUGAGGGUGGCCCGCCCGAUGCCGGGGGGUAGGUCGCUUGAGCCCGGCGGCGACGCCGGGCCCAGAUAAAUGACAGGAACCCGUACCGCCUCUGUCUCAGAACAGGUGCGGGUACAGAACCCGGCUUACAGGUCUGCUGCUUUU
rnacentral:RNase_P_RNA from 1 species